AUUGAACGCUGGCGGCAGGCCUAACACAUGCAAGUCGAGCGGAUGAAGUGAGCUUGCUCCUGGAUUCAGCGGCGGACGGGUGAGUAAUGCCUAGGAAUCUGCCUGGUAGUGGGGGAUAACGUCCGGAAACGGGCGCUAAUGCCGCAUACGUCCUGAGGGAGAAAGUGGGGGAUCUUCGGACCUCACGCUAUCAGAUGAGCCUAGGUCGGAUUAGCUAGUUGGUGGGGUAAAGGCCUACCAAGGCGACGAUCCGUAACUGGUCUGAGAGGAUGAUCAGUCACACUGGAACUGAGACACGGUCCAGACUCCUACGGGAGGCAGCAGUGGGGAAUAUUGGACAAUGGGCGAAAGCCUGAUCCAGCCAUGCCGCGUGUGUGAAGAAGGUCUUCGGAUUGUAAAGCACUUUAAGUUGGGAGGAAGGGCAGUAAGUUAAUACCUUGCUGUUUUGACGUUACCAACAGAAUAAGCACCGGCUAACUUCGUG
rnacentral:rRNA from 1 species